rnacentral:rRNA from 1 species
AGCAGCCGCGGUAAUUCCAGCUCCAAUAGCGUAUAUUAAAGUUGUUGCAGUUAAAAAGCUCGUAGUUGAAUUUCGGGAUCGACGGGUCGGUCGCGCCUCUGGUGUGUACUGGCCCUGUCGGUUUCUCCCUUCUGACGAACCACGAUGUCAUUAAUUUGGUGUCGUGGGAAAUCAGGACUGUUACUUUGAAAAAUUAGAGUGUUUAAAGCAGGCAUUCGCUUGAAUACAUUAGCAUGGAAUAAUGAAAUAGGACGUUUGAUCUUAUUUUGUUGGUUUCUAAGAUCGACGUAAUGAUUAAUAGGGAUAGUUGGGGGCAUUAGUAUUCAAUUGUCAGAGGUGAAAUUCUUGGAUUUAUUGAAGACUAACUACUGCGAAAGCAUUUGCCAAGGAUGUUUUCAUUAAUCAAGAACGAAAGUUAGGGGAUCGAAGACGAUCAGAUACCGUCGUAGUCUUAACCAUAAACUAUGCCGACUAGGGAUCGGAUGAUGUUAAUUUUUUAAUGACUCAUUCGGCGCCUUAC